CGGGAUGUAGCUCAGGUGGUAGAGCGCCCGCCCUGGGAGCGGGAGGCCGCAGGUUCGAGCCCUGCUAUCCCGA
rnacentral:tRNA from 1 species